GACAGAGGUGCCGAGCGUUAGGCGGAAUCACUGGGCUUAAAGCGCGCGCAGGCGGUUUCUUAAGUCUGAUGUGAAAGCCCACGGCUCAACCGUGGAGGGUCAUUGGAAACUGGGGAACUUGAGUGCAGAAGAGAAAAGCGGAAUUCCACGUGUAGCGGUGAAAUGCGUAGAGAUGUGGAGGAACACCAGUGGCGAAGGCGGCUUUUUGGUCUGUAACUGACGCUGAGGCGCGAAAGCGUGGGGAGCAAACAGG
rnacentral:rRNA from 1 species